CCUUUCCGGCCGUGCCAUUGUCUGGCCCAAUUCGUGCCCGGGCCGUGUCGGGCCGGCCCGAUGGCAGCCCUCCACCACGGACGCCGUUCACUCCUCCCUUUCCCGUAAAUGCCUCUGUCACCGGCGAGGGGCUACUGAUGUAGCCGCCGUCGCGCCGAGGUAGAUCUAUCCGUGUUGCCGGCGCUUGCCGUUCCACGCCGCGCUGCUGCCGUCCGUGAAAGUCCGACUGCCGCCGCGCGCCCUCCACCGGGCGAGCCCUCCGCCACCGACCUCGCUGCUGUCGUCCGCGAAAAAUCGACCGCCCGCCGCGCGCCCCCCGCCUACGGCCGUCGCUCAGCCCUGCGCCGCCCGUCUCGGCCGACCUUCGACUAGCCGCCGUCUGCAAGGGAUUCUUCCUGUAAGCCCAGUUGUUUGUCAGAUGCUUCCUCUAUACCAAUCUCACCUCCAGUGAUGAUGUCAGUUGACUGCAGAAGCAGAAAUGUCAUUUUCAAAGCAAGAAGAAGAAGUGGUUUCGUCUCCUAACAGAAGAGCUUCUGCAUUGUCGGCAACAUCGCCUGGUUCUGUGCGUAUGCUUAUGUGCAAAUUUUCUGGGUGGAAAGGAGGGAGAAGUAGUAAGCUAGAAGGUUCCAAUCUUAUUCCAAUAUAUUACACCGAAUGGAAUACCUGAAUUUCUAGUCCAUAAUAACCGAUGAUUAGCUGCAAGAUAUCUCCCAAAAAUCCGUGGAUGGCAACAGAGUAUAGGAAAGCACCAUAUAUUCUCCAUAAUUACAAGCACAUGCUUACUUCUUCAUGAAAAGCCAAAACAAGUACCAAUUGAUCCAUGCCAAUAAUAUGGACCAUAACGGCUGCAGCUGAAGGAUGGCUACCCUACCAGUCACCUGCCUUCUUGUUCAUAGGUACACAGACAUGCACACUCACUUUGCUUAAAGAUGUGUUGGAUGCAAAACCUUGUUGCAUGUGAAAUUAUUCGUGUAUGGUCUUUGUCAUACCGGGAGGCGCUGAUGCCGAAGGAGCUCACAGACCUAUUGCUUGACGCAUCAGUUUUUAUAUAUCAGAGACAACUGCCCUUUUUUCUUCCUAAAACGCUGUCGACUUCAUGCUCACCAUGCUGGUAAACUGUGAGGCAGAGGCGCUGGUGACACUGGACCAGCGACGCUAGUUGAGCCGAGGUAGCAGAGCUCGCAGAUUAGUUAGGAUAAUAUGGUGCCGAUGAAGGAGAGCUCUUCGGUGUGUAGAUGAACUAAACCAUCCAAAGAUGCUGAAAAGAGAAUUCAAUAUCCACUGACAUGGAGCUUACUGAUUUUACUAAAGAUUGGCAUGUAUGUAUUGCAGAAUAUUAAAAAAACAAAAACAGGAUGCUCACCAGUUCACUGUUUACACGAAGCUGCUUAAAGCUAGCAUCUACAUGCAUGUAUGUCUCCUACGACAUUACAUGAAGUCAUGAAUAAGGUCUGUUCUAUAGGAGCACAAGACUACAGCAUUUUGGUCUCGAAGUAAUUGUUUUACUUGAUUUCAUAUACAUGACAUAAUUUUGAUUUACUUACUGGCACCUAAGUUUCUAUGCAUUUUGAAAUGGUUACACAGAAGCGAUGCGUCCUUGAGUUCAUCUAGCUACUUUGUUGCGUUAAGCCUUCCUGCCAAAUUAAUUGGAACAUAUGGUAAAAGAUAACCUCGGCUGGAUACAAUCAUGAACUGUUGCACAUUUCAGACCGAAGCAUGUAUGUCUCCCUAGCUUCCUGCAUGUUCUCUUGUAGGUUAUCAGGUGCAGUUUACUACGAUAUGAAGGAGCUGAUGUUGGUGAUAAUCCGGCCAAUGUGCAGAGGCAGAGCAGUGUGGACCACAGGGUUCCGUCCAUCAUUUGGCAGAGGCAACUAGAACUUGAACCUUCUUGCAGAGCACAAACUGGUGCAUAAGGUGCUUGAGGAGUUCAGGGGCGUUGGCGUUACUUACCACCUGGAAGAUCCUUCUCCCUGAGAAGCGCAAGGCGGCCGCCCUGAAGAUGAUGUCGAAGAUCCAACUUCUGCUUAGAGUGAGUGCGGUGGACAGAAAAUAGGAUUAGGAGUAGGUGCUAGUUCCUGUUUCGUUUGGUCAUGUUCAGUAAAUUGUUGUCGAAAUAUUACAUGUAUCUAGACGCUUUUUAAGAAUAGGUAUAUCAAUAUUUGGACAAAUUUGAGUUAAGAAUUUAGAAUCAAAGUGAGUACUUAUUUGAUGAUUUCGGUUGAGGA